UACGAAGGGGGCUAGCGUUGCUCGGAAUCACUGGGCGUAAAGGGUGCGUAGGCGGGUCUUUAAGUCAGGGGUGAAAUCCUGGAGCUCAACUCCAGAACUGCCUUUGAUACUGAGGAUCUUGAGUUCGGGAGAGGUGAGUGGAACUGCGAGUGUAGAGGUGAAAUUCGUAGAUAUUCGCAAGAACACCAGUGGCCGAAGGCGGCUCACUGGCCCGAUACUGACGCUGAGGCACGAAAGCGUGGGGAGCAACAGG
rnacentral:rRNA from 1 species